rnacentral:rRNA from 1 species
CCUACGGGAGGCAGCAGUGGGGAAUAUUGGACAAUGGGGGGAACCCUGAUCCAGCCAUGCCGCGUGUGUGAAGAAGGCCCUCGGGUUGUAAAGCACUUUCAGUGAGGAAGAACGCCUGGUGGUUAAUACCCAUCAGGAAAGACAUCACUCACAGAAGAAGCACCGGCUAACUCCGUGCCAGCAGCCGCGGUAAUACGGAGGGUGCGAGCGUUAAUCGGAAUUACUGGGCGUAAAGCGCGCGUAGGUGGCUUGAUAAGCCGGUUGUGAAAGCCCCGGGCUCAACCUGGGAACGGCAUCCGGAACUAUCAAGCUAGAGUGCAGGAGAGGAAGGUAGAAUUCCCGGUGUAGCGGUGAAAUGCGUAGAGAUCGGGAGGAAUACCAGUGGCGAAGGCGGCCUUCUGGACUGACACUGACACUGAGGUGCGAAAGCGUGGGUAGCAAACAGGAUUAGAUACCCUUGUAGUC